rfam:Nematostella vectensis strain CH2 x CH6 NEMVEscaffold_224_Cont19621, whole genome shotgun sequence.
GCCGAAAUAGCUCAGUUGGGAGAGCGUCAGACUGAAGAUCUGAAGGUCCCUGGUUCAAUCCGGAGAGUUUGUA